rnacentral:snRNA from 1 species
UCCUGCUUCGGCAGUACAUAUACUAAAAUUGGAACGAUACAGAGAAGAUUAGCAUGGCCCCUGCGCAGUGUAUAUGUAUGCAUAUGAUGAAUAAACUGGUAUG